CCAGACUCCUACGGGAGGCAGCAGUAGGGAAUCUUUCACAAUGGGCGAAAGCCUGAUGGAGCAACGCCGCGUGCAGGAUGAAGGCCUUCGGGUUGUAAACUGCUUUUAUAAGCGAGAAAUAUGAUGGUAACUUAUGAAUAAGGAUCGGCUAACUACGUGCCAGCAGCCGCGGUAAUACGGAGGAUGCGAGCGUUAUCCGGAUUUAUUGGGUUUAAAGGGUGCGUAGGCGGGAUGCCAAGUCGGCGGUAAAAAGGGGGGGCUCAACGCAGUCGAGCCGUUGAAACUGGCGUUCUUGAGUAGGCGAGAAGUAUGCGGAAUGCGUGGUGUAGCGGUGAAAUGCAUAGAUAUCACGCAGAACUCCGAUUGCGAAGGCAGCAUACCGGCGCCCUACUGACGCUGAGGCACGAAAGCGUGGGUAUCGAACAGGAUUAGAUACCCUAGUA
rnacentral:rRNA from 1 species